rnacentral:rRNA from 1 species
GUGGGGAAUUUUGGACAAUGGGCGAAAGCCUGAUCCAGCAAUGCCGCGUGUGUGAAGAAGGCCUUCGGGUUGUAAAGCACUUUUGGCAGGGAAGAAACAGUGCGUGCUAAUACCAUGCGCGAAUGACGGUACCUGCAGAAUAAGCACCGGCUAACUACGUGCCAGCAGCCGCGGUAAUACGUAGGGUGCAAGCGUUAAUCGGAAUUACUGGGCGUAAAGCGUGCGCAGGCGGCUUUGUAAGACGGAUGUGAAAGCCUCGGGCUCAACCUGGGAAGUGCAUUCGUGACUGCAAGGCUAGAGUGAGUAAGAGGGAGGUGGAAUUCCGCGUGUAGCAGUGAAAUGCGUAGAGAUGCGGAGGAACACCGAUGGCGAAGGCAGCCUCCUGGGAUAACACUGACGCUCAGGCACGAAAGCGUGGGGAGCAAACAGGAUUAGAUACCCUAGUAGUCC